CAUAAAUUAGUCCCCUUUGUAGCAUGAUGGGGAGUUAAAAAAAAAAAAAGAGUAUGUGAUGCAUGAAUCUCCAUCUUCCUCUCACCUCUCCUACCCAUUCCCAGACACCACCUCCCCCAACCUGGUUCAGCAGCACAUCUCAUUUUUCUACAGAUGGAACAGCCGCUACCCUCCAGAAUCCAUAAUUCUGACUCAAACUCAAAUGCAAACAUUGUGCUCGAUGUUCAGAAAGGACCAAGAAUUGAGAUUAUAAAGAUGCCACAAAUGUUCAACAUAAGGAAAUAAAAGGAGACCAUUCAGGACUUUUAUUUGAUGG
ensembl:lncRNA